rnacentral:sRNA from 1 species
GCAGGGUGCAGUGGCGCACACCUGUAACCCCAGUGGCUGGGGAGGCUGAGACAGGAGGAUUGCAAGUUCAAAGCCAACCUCAGCAACUUUGCGAGGCACUAAGCAACUAAGUGAGACCCUGUCUCUA